GAGGUACUCCCUCCGUUCCAAAUUACUCGUCGCAGAAAUGGAUGUAUCUAUAACUAAAAUACAUCUAGAUACAUCCAUUUAUUGGACGAGUAAUUCGGAACGGAGGGAAUACCUG
rfam:Triticum aestivum genome assembly, contig: Triticum_aestivum_CS42_TGACv1_scaffold_377739_5AL